rnacentral:tRNA from 1 species
GAGGGUAUAGCUCAGCAGUAGAGUGCAUGCUUAGCAUGCACGAAGACCUGGGUUCAAUCCCCAGUACCACCG